rnacentral:tRNA from 1 species
UGCCCCAUAGCCAAGCGGUAAGGCUCGAGACUCUGAAUCUUGCAUGCGCUAGUUCGAAUCUAGCUGGGGCAGCCA